CUUCCACUUUAACAUGGAGGCGCUUUCUGUGCCUUCAAACGGUAGUAAGUGCUUCCAUGUUUUAGUAGAGG
rnacentral:pre_miRNA from 1 species